rnacentral:rRNA from 1 species
UGAAUACGAGAUGCUACGGCGUCGAAGCAGUCUAUGUCAUACUUCCAAGAAAAGCUCGCACUGUCAUAAACAAAUAAUGCCUGUACCAUAACCGACACAGGUGGGUAGGUAGAGUAUACUAAGGGGCGCGAGAUAACUCUCUCUAAGGAACUCGGCAAAAUGACUCCGUAACUUCGGGAGAAGGAGUGCCUUAUUUAUAAGGUUGCAAUAACAAGAUCCAAGCAACUGUUUAUCAAAAACACAGGUCUCCGCUAAGUCGUAAGACGAUGUAUGGGGGCUGACGCCUGCCCAGUGCCAGAAGGUUAAAGAAGUUGGUUAGCAUUCGCGAAGCUGAUAACUGAAGCCCUGGUGAACGGCGGCCGUAACGAUAACGGUCCUAAGGUAGCGAAAUUCCUUGUCGGGUAAGUUCCGACCCGCACGAAAGGCGUAAUGAUUUGGAUACUGUCUCGGAGAGGGGCUCGGUGAAAUAGACUUGUCUGUGAAGAUGCGGACUACCUGCACCAGGACAGAAAGACCCUAUGAAGCUUUACUGUAACUUGAGAUUGAAAUUGGACUUUACUUGCGCAGUAUAGGUGGGAGGCGUUGAUAAUAUUCUUGCGGGAUUAUUUGAGCCAUCAGUGAGAUACCACUCUUGUAAUGUUAGAUUUCUAACUUUGUAUCAUUAUCUGGUCAAAGGACAGUUUCAGGCGGGCAGUUUGACUGGGGCGGUCGCCUCCUAAACGGUAACGGAGGCGCACAAAGGUUUCCUCUGAACGGGUAGAAAUCGUAUCUAGAGUGUAAAGGCAUAAGGAAGCUUGACUGUGAGACCUACAAGUCGAGCAGGGACGAAAGUCGGUCUUAGUGAUCUGACGGUGCUGAGUGGAAAGGCCGUCACUCAACGGAUAAAAGUUACCCUAAGGAUAACAGGCUGAUCUCCCCCAAGAGUUCACAUCGACGGGGAGGUUUGGCACCUGAUGUCGGCUCAUCGCAUCCUGGGGCGGUAGUACGUCCCAAGGGUUGGGCUGUUCGCCCAUGAAAGCGGUACGCGAGCUGGGUUCAGAACGUCGUGAGACAGUUCGGUCCAUAUCCGGUGUAGGCGUUAGAAUAUUGAGAGGAGCCUUCUUUAGUACGAGAGGACCGAGAAGGACAUACCUCUGGUGUACCAGUUAUCGUGCCAACGGUAAACGCUGGGUAGCUAUGUAUGGAGUGGAUAACCGCUGAAAGCAUCUAAGUGGGAAGCCCACCUCAAGAUAAGUAUUCAC